rnacentral:misc_RNA from 1 species
GAUGAAGAACGCAGCGAAAUGCGAUAAGUAGUGUGAAUUGCAGACUUUAGUGAAUCAUCGAAUCUUUGAACGCACAUUGCGCCCCCUGGUAUUCCGGGGGGCAUGCCUGUCCGAGCGUCAUUGCUGCCCUCAAGCACGGCUUGUGUGUUGGGCCCCCGUCCCCGGUUUCCCCCGGGGACGGGCCCGAAAGGCAGCGGCGGCACCGCGUCCGGUCCUCGAGCGUAUGGGGCUUUGUCACCCGCUCUGUAGGCCCGGCCGGCGCCAGCCGACACCCAACUUUAUUUCUAAGGUUGACCUCGGAUCAGGUAGGGAUACCCGCUGAACUUAAGCAUAUCAAUAAGCGGAGGA